AGAAAAUAAUGGAAACAAUAAACAUUCUUAAGAGGAAAGCUGAUUAAAUUGUGGUACAUCCAGGGAAAACGGUGCCCUAUAGUGAGAUUCCCAGGAAGCAUCACUUUUCCUGAUAAGGACUACGAUGGCUGAGACUGAAUGAUAAGCUUCAAAUCAUCCUGAUAAUCUACGAAUGCGGCCUGAGCUUUAAAGAGAGAACAGCUGGAAUGCUACAGUGAGAAGAGUUCACGCUUCUAUCAAGGUAGGAAGACGGGAAAAACGAAAUAAAGAAACAAAGGCCUCCAGGGGGGC